rnacentral:rRNA from 1 species
GAGUUUGAUCAUGGCUCAGAUUGAACGCUGGCGGCAGGCCUAACACAUGCAAGUCGAGCGAGAAAGCACUUCGGUGUGAGUAGAGCGGCGGACGGGUGAGUAACGCGUAGGAAUUUGCCCAGUAGUGGGGGACAACAUGUGGAAACGCAUGCUAAUACCGCAUACGCCCUAAGGGGGAAAGCAGGGGAUCUUCGGACCUUGCGCUAUUGGAGAAGCCUGCGUCGGAUUAGCUAGUUGGUGGGGUAAAGGCCCACCAAGGCGACGAUCCGUAGCUGGUCUGAGAGGAUGAUCAGCCACACUGGGACUGAGACACGGCCCAGACUCCUACGGGAGGCAGCAGUGGGGAAUAUUGGACAAUGGGCGAAAGCCUGAUCCAGCCAUGCCGCGUGUGUGAAGAAGGCCUUAGGGUUGUAAAGCACUUUCAGUAGGGAGGAAAAGUUAGUCGUUAAUAGCGGCUAACCCUGACGUUACCUACAGAAGAAGCACCGGCAAACUCCGUGCCAGCAGCCGCGGUAAUACGGAGGGUGCGAGCGUUAAUCGGAAUUACUGGGCGUAAAGCGCGCGUAGGUGGUUUGUUAAGCGAGAUGUGAAAGCCCCGGGCUCAACCUGGGAACUGCAUUUCGAACUGGCAGGCUAGAGUAUGGUAGAGGUAAGUGGAAUUUCCUGUGUAGCGGUGAAAUGCGUAGAUAUAGGAAGGAACACCAGUGGCGAAGGCGACUUACUGGACCAAUACUGACACUGAGGUGCGAAAGCGUGGGGAGCAAACGGGAUUAGAUACCCCGGUAGUCCACGCCGUAAACGAUGUCUACUAGCCGUUGGGAGACUUGAUCUCUUAGUGGCGCAGCUAACGCAAUAAGUAGACCGCCUGGGGAGUACGGCCGCAAGGUUAAAACUCAAAUGAAUUGACGGGGGCCCGCACAAGCGGUGGAGCAUGUGGUUUAAUUCGAUGCAACGCGAAGAACCUUACCUGGUCUUGACAUCCUACGAACUUUCCAGAGAUGGAUUGGUGCCUUCGGGAACGUAGUGACAGGUGCUGCAUGGCUGUCGUCAGCUCGUGUCGUGAGAUGUUCGGUUAAGUCCGGCAACGAGCGCAACCCACAUCCUUAGUUGCCAGCAGGUUAAGCUGGGCACUCUAGGGAAACUGCCCGUGAUAAGCGGGAGGAAGGUGUGGAUGACGUCAAGUCCUCAUGGCCCUUACGGGUUGGGCUACACACGUGCUACAAUGGCAGUGACAGUGCUACAAUGGCAGUGACAAUGGGUUAAUCCCAAAAAAAACUGUCUCAGUUCGGAUUGGGGUCUGCAACUCGACCCCAUGAAGUCGGAAUCGCUAGUAAUCGCGUAACAGCAUGACGCGGUGAAUACGUUCCCGGGCCUUGUACACACCGCCCGUCACACCAUGGGAGUUGGGUCUACCCGAAGGCCGUAGUCUAACCUUAGGGAGGGCGUUUACCACGGUGUGCUUCAUGACGGGGGUGAAGUCGUAACAAGGUAACC